CUCAACUACGUAGUGAGACCCUGUCUCAAAAAACCAAAAAAAAAAAGAAAAAAAGAAAAAGAAACCCGAAGUACAGAGCGUCCCUGGAAGGCAGGGGUCUCAGAAACCGCAGGCCACUUUCUGGUGGGAAAAUCGGGAAGAGCACCCUGACUGUUCCUGUUUGUCCCGCCAGAGGCAGGCAUGGGCAGGACGCAGUGGCUUCCUCAAAUCUAGAGCUCGCCGUGAGUGCCGCUGCGCGUUCUGCUGCUGUCUCAUCAUCUGGACCCUCGAAGUCGCCGGUUCAACACCGCUUUCUAGGUUCGGCUCGGAGCGGGGCUGGACGUGUGGGGCCCCCUCCCGCCGGCCCUGUGGGGUUGAAGAGAUCGCUCGGCCGGGCUUGCUGGGAACCAGCAGCCUCGGAGGCCAGCAGGUGGACGGGGCUGCCGGGCCAAGGCCUUGGACGAGAGGCUGACAGAGAGGACGUCACAUUAAAACCACCGGUGCUGUGGACGCCACGGCCUGCGUCAGAGCCCCGCUGUCCGCACGCUGUCUGCUCCCGGGGUGAGCAGAAGAUGCUGGGAGCUUCGGGUUGGGCUAAACCCUCCCUCCAGCAGGAGCUUUAGGGUUCAUGUGGAGCUGAGGUGGCGGCCCCCGCCUGGUCCACUUCACAGUGAGACCGGAGCCGACGCAGGGCUGCAGGAGGCCCGGGCACCGGGAAGCUUGGGCCUCGCUGGACAGAGCGUGGUAAUAAAGUGACU